rnacentral:lncRNA from 1 species
UUUAGUACCGUACUUCAGUGAACAGCAAGCUCUAGGAUAAUGGGUCCUAAUAUAAGGAGUGGAAGUCCUAGCUUCAGAAGUCCUUAUAUAAUUUGUCUAAUCCCUGAGGGAUUAGAGUGAAUAGCCCUAAGAACCAGUCAGACAUGCGGUCAAUAGUCAAGAGAGAUUUGGGUCAGAGGUUGUUAGAAAGACAAAUUGGGAUAAACAGGGAAGAGCAAAUUUAAAUAUACCAUCUCAUAUCUUUUAAGUUAGUUUCCUAGUUCUCCGAAUAUAUCCUAGCUGUGUUUCACUCCAGGAGGUGUCACUGCAAAUGAAGUAGGCUCCCUUAUGUGAUUAAGGCAAAAAAUAUUUUUAAUAACUGGCAUUUGUACGGAAAUAGAAAAUAAUAACAAAGGUUGAUGUUGGGCACAAUGUAUCCAGAUGUCAGAUUCAAAGCAUUUUUAAGUUGCAAAGGAGGAUAGCGAUGACAAUCUCACAUAUUUUUUAUCUGUAUCUCAAGGGAUAAGCUUCAGCAUGCAGGGCCUCCGUAAGAAGAUCGUAGCCAUUUCAUUGAGUCCACGGUCUCAAGCCACCCAGGCUGGAAUGCAGUGGCACAAUUAUGGCUCACUGUAGCCUCACCUUCCUGGGAUCAAGCGAUCCUCUUCAGCCUCCAGAGGAGCUGGGACCACAGGCCUCUCUGGACGGUGGCUAUAACCUAUAGCCUUGCCCAGUACGACUCAGCGUUUGGUACUGGCUGUGCCUUUCAUGGGAUGCUUACUUAUCCUGAUGGAUGGCCUAAAGCCGAACUGUCCAGCUUACAUCCAGGUAUCCUUCUCAGAGAGUACUUGUUUAUACUGUAAGACACCCUGUGGCUCCUGUCUGACCUGUGUCUAGUUUAUUUCUACCAAGGUAACCACUCUUUAGGAGAGUGCUAAGUGGGAGAAAAGUGAUGUCCAUGUGUGUUCGUCAAGUGAAAUACAGAGGAGGCAACUCAACAUAAUGUGUAUAAUGGCGUUAGUAAUGUAUUACUAACCAAUCGCCGUAAGAAGAGGCCAGCAUUCCUUGAAGUUCCAGUGAAAAUGAAGAGCUCUCCAGGCCACACAUUCAUAAGCAGCAGGGGUGGUGGAGGAGCAACUAGAGAAAGACAUAAUAUUGUGCCAUUUGGCUGAAGUCUUCAUGGGUGUAUUGGUCAGGUUUUUUUCCAGCGAGACAGAACUACAGGGAGGGAGGGAGGUAGGCAGGGAGGUAGGUAGGUAGAUACGUAGAUGGAGAGUUGAUAGACAGACAAUAGUUAGAUGAAUGGCAUUUUG